rnacentral:rRNA from 1 species
AGUGAACGCUGGCGGUAGGCCCAACACAUGCAAGUCGAACGGCAGCACAGUAAGAGCUUGCUCUUACGGGUGGCGAGUGGCGGACGGGUGAGGAAUACAUCGGAAUCUACUUUUUCGUGGGGGAUAACGUAGGGAAACUUACGCUAAUACCGCAUACGACCUACGGGUGAAAGCAGGGGAUCUUCGGACCUUGCGCGAUUGAAUGAGCCGAUGUCGGAUUAGCUAGUUGGCGGGGUAAAGGCCCACCAAGGCGACGAUCCGUAGCUGGUCUGAGAGGAUGAACAGCCACACUGGAACUGAGAAACGGUCCAGACUCCUACGGGAGGCAGCAGUGGGGAAUAUUGGACAAUGGGCGCAAGCCUGAUCCAGCCAUACCGCGUGGGUGAAGAAGGCCUUCGGGUGGUAAAGCCCUUUUGUUGGGAAAGAAAAGCAGCAGGUUAAUACCCCGCUGUUCUGACGGUACCCAAAGAAUAAGCACCGGCUAACUUCGUG